rnacentral:misc_RNA from 1 species
AAGUCGUAACAAGGUUUCCGUAGGUGAACCUGCGGAAGGAUCAUUAUAGAAUUAUGAGCGAGGGUUGUCGCUGGUCCCCUCGGGGGCAUGUGCACGCCUGAGCUCUUGGGUCCCACCACACACCUGUGAACCCACCGUGGGCCCUGC